UAGGGAAUCUUCGGCAAUGGGGGCAACCCUGGCCGAGCAACGCCGCGUGAGUGAAGAAGGUUUUCGGAUCGUAAAGCUCUGUUGUAAGAGAAGAACGUGUGUGAGAGUGGAAAGUUCACACAGUGACGGUAACUUACCAGAAAGGGACGGCUAACUACGUGCUAG
rnacentral:rRNA from 1 species